AUACGUAGGUGACAAGCGUUAUUCGGAUUUACUGGGCGUAAAGGGCGUGUAGGCGGUCUUGCAAGUCAGAAGUGAAAUUCCUGAGCUCAACUCGGGCGCUGCUUCUGAAACUGCAGGACUUGAGUGCUGGAGGGGAUAGCGGAAUUCCUAGUGGAGCGGUAAAAUGCGCAGAUAUUAGGAAGAACACCGGUGGCGAAGGCGGCUAUCUGGACAGUAACUGACGCUGAGGCACGAAAGCGUGGGGAGCAAACAGGAUUAGAUACCCUGGUAGUCCACGCUAUAAACGAUGAGUGCUAGGUGUCGGGGGUCAAACCUCGGUGCCGCAGUUAACACAUUAAGCACUCCGCCUGGGGAGUACGGCCGCAAGGCUGAAACUCAAAUGAAUUGACGGGG
rnacentral:rRNA from 1 species